GUUUUAAUAAUUUAACAAAAAUAUUGGCCUUGUAAACCAAAAAUAAGAAUUCACCUUUUAAAACA
rnacentral:tRNA from 10 species